UACGAAGGGGGCGAGCGUUGUCCGGAUUUAUUGGGCGUAAAGAGCGUGUAGGCGGCCAGGUAGGUCCGUUGUGAAAACUGGAGGCUUAACCUCCAGCUGUCGAUGGAAACCAUCUGGCUAGAGUCCGGAAGAGGAGAAUGGAAUUCCCGGUGUAGCGGUGAAAUGCGCAGAUAUCGGGAAGAACACCCGUGGCGAAGGCGGUUCUCUAGUACGGUACUGACGCUGAGACGCGAAAGCGUGGGGAGCGAACAGG
rnacentral:rRNA from 1 species